rnacentral:misc_RNA from 1 species
ACCUUGCGCUUAUACCCUCCAGGUCCACUGGGAGUUCCACGCGAGGCAGCUGAAGAUUGUUUCAUAUCAGGAUACUUUAUCCCAAAAGGAACUCGUUUGUUUACACAUUUGUGGAAGUUACAUAGAGACCCAAAUGUGUGGUCGGAUCCUGAGGAAUUCAUUCCAGAAAGAUUUCUCACAAUCAAUGCAAAUUUGGAUGUUACCGGUCAGAAUUUCGAGUAUUUACCUUUUAGCGCAGGAAGACGAUCUUGUCCUGGAUUGAACUUGGCAAUGCAGGUGCUGCACUUGAGUCUUGCGAGGUUGAUUCAGGCGUUCGAUUUGAAAACUCCAUCAAAUGAGCCAGUGGACAUGACUGAGGCGCAAGGAAUUGUGAUGCCAAGGGAAACUCCCCUUGAAAUUGUUGCCGUCCCACGCCUUGCUCCUGAAUUUUAUGAGCGAGAGUAGAUUGCAUUAAUAUUGGUUUUGGUGAAAUAAAGAGAGAAUAUGUCUUUAUUUAAUAUAGAAUGAACCAUUAUCU